GUCGCGAGCGGAGGAGCGGAGAGCACGACUCGGGUGCCCCAGGUCACACAGCGGAUGGACAGCCGGGGCAGAGCAGUACCCAGGGAUCCCGGCGGCCAGGUUCUCUCCGCGCCCGCCCCGAAAGCCGGAGGACAGAUGCUGAGCAAGGUCACCUGGCUGAGCGGCUGAGCAAGGCCCAAGAGCAGGAACAGCACAAGCGGCCGUAGUGGAGGCAGCAACCAGUGCCCGGGCCACUCGCAUGGCAACAGUGGGGCAGUGACGAUGACAGCUGCUCCACUUUUAAAGAUGUAUUUAUAUAUUUAUUUGAAAGGCAGAGUGACGAGAGAGAGAGAGAGAGAGAGAGAGAGAGGUCUUCUAUCUGCUGGUUCACUCCCCAGACGGCUGCAACAGCAGGGCUGGGCCAGGCUGAGACCCAGCACCUGGAGCCCCAUCCUGCUCGCCCACCUGAGCGGCGGGGACCCAAGUCCUUGGCUCUCCCUGGCCGCCCCCAGGCGCGUUGUCAGGGAGCUGGCACUGGGAGCAGGCAGCAGCCAGGACUCCAGGCAGGCACUGGGACGCGGGAUGUGGGGCUGAUUGCACCGUGCCUCCCGGCCGCCUCCUUAGGGACACACGAUGGAGUUUUAAUUUCUUUUCAGAAUAGAAGAAAAAAAAAAACACAAAUAUACCGCAGCCCAGAGCACCAAGCAGUGUCAGUACAAGUCUGUUACCGGGGAAAGGGCCCAGGCAGACAAAGCUCCGGGAGCCCACAGGCCUGGGGGCCAGGACCCCACGUGCGGCAGCAGGCACAGGCCGCGCACACAGCAGGUGCUCCCGGAACUCCUGGAACAGAAAGCAAGAAGGAAUCCGAGGGGGCCUCGGCAUAUCCCAGAGAGGGCCGGCUCUGCCCAGACCCGGGUUCCAAUCCCACAGUUCUUCCUCCUUGUUCUUGGCUUGGGCAGGGCCCCCUGCCCUCCCCAGCACCGCUCCCCAUCGGUGCAGUGAGAAUCACCAUGUUCGUGGCCUUGGUUGUCUGUGUGUUUCUCGGGCUCCAGAGAGACACAUGGCUCUGUCCUGUCCCGCAUGGUAGGGGGACCCCAGGACGGCAGUCAUCGCCCCGCACCACUGG
rnacentral:lncRNA from 1 species